UAGAAGAUAAUAUAGUGCGGUAGUAUGCAGGAUUUUGGAUUCUGUAGUUUGGGUUCGAGGCCCAUUCUUUUAG
rnacentral:tRNA from 1 species